rnacentral:rRNA from 1 species
UACGGGGGGGGCAAGCGUUGUUCGGAAUUACUGGGCGUAAAGGGCUCGUAGGUGGCCAAUUAAGUCAGACGUGAAAUCCCUCAGCUUAACUGGGGAACUGCGUCUGAUACUGGAUGGCUUGAGUUUGGGAGAGGGAUGCGGAAUUCCAGGUGUAGCGGUGAAAUGCGUAGAUAUCUGGAGGAACACCGGUGGUGAAGGCGGCAUCCUGGACCAAUACUGACACUGAGGAGCGAAAGCCAGGGGAGCAAACGGG